ensembl:snRNA U1 U1 spliceosomal RNA
GAGCAUGCGCUGCAGUCUGGAGGAUUAUCCAUUGCACAGACGAGGCUUAUCCAUUCCACUCCGGAUGCGCUGACCCUUAGCGAUUUCCUCAAAAGUGGGAAACUCGACUGCAUAAUUUGUGGUGGUGGCGGACUGCGUUCACGCUUUCCCCUG